UGCAUUUGUAACAAAGCCUUACAGACAGGUACAAACAGUAAAUUCUCUUCCACAACCCAGAAUUCAUUGUUAAGUAUAAAGAUUUUGGUAUAUGGGAGAAGGAUUAUG
rfam:Dipodomys ordii contig_6065, whole genome shotgun sequence.